UACGGAGGGUGCAAGCGUUGUCCGGAAUCACUGGGCGUAAAGGGCGCGUAGGCGGCUCAUGAAGACUGUGGUGAAAGUCCGGGGCUCAACCUCGGAUCGGCCGUGGCGACUCGUGGGCUGGAGCACUGUAGAGGCGGGUGGAAUUCCGGGUGUAGCGGUGGAAUGCGUAGAGAUCCGGAAGAACACCGGUGGCGAAGGCGGCCUGCUGGGCAGUAGCUGACGCUGAGGCGCGACAGCGUGGGGAGCAAACAGG
rnacentral:rRNA from 1 species